rnacentral:rRNA from 1 species
UACAGGCUUAACACAUGCAAGUCGAGGGGCAGCAUGAGAUUAGCUUGCUAAUCUUGAUGGCGACCGGCGCACGGGUGAGUAACGCGUAUCCAACCUUCCCCUUAGUAGGGCAUAGCCCGGCGAAAGUCGGAUUAAUACCCUAUGUUGUAUAUUGAGGACAUCUGAUUUAUACUAAAGAUUUAUCGCUAAGGGAUGGGGAUGCGUCUGAUUAGGUGGUAGGCGGGGUAACGGCCCACCUAGCCGACGAUCAGUAGGGGUUCUGAGAGGAAGGUCCCCCACAUUGGAACUGAGACACGGUCCAAACUCCUACGGGAGGCAGCAGUGAGGAAUAUUGGUCAAUGGGCGAGAGCCUGAACCAGCCAAGUAGCGUGCAGGAAUGACGGCCCUAUGGGUUGUAAACUGCUUUUAUAUGGGGAUAAAGUUCACCACGUGUGGUGUUUUGCAGGUACCAUAUGAAUAAGGACCGGCUAAUUCCGUGCCAGCAGCUGC